rnacentral:misc_RNA from 1 species
GACAGAUGAAAUGAUACUCUUGAAUCGACUUGACGACUUUUUCAAAAGAGAAAGAGAAGCAUUAUUUUUAAUCUCGACCAUUUUAUUUAAUUCAAAUUUUAUCAAAUUUAAUUAUAAUUCAUUUUGAUAAUAAUAAAAGAAGGCUGAGCAUUGUAUGAUGAACUAGUUGAUACAACAGGCUUCCGUCUUACCUGGCUCCCUAGAGUAUGCAAAAUAGUGAGAAUACUCUGUGGUGUUUGGUGUGCAAUGUAUUCCUAAUCAACCGCAACGAGGCUGACAAGCAUUUCUGCUCCACUUAUCACCAGCAACGUGUCGAUUAUCUGCUUUAUAUGAAAAGGAACCUCAGCCGAUCGUCAGACAAGGCCGCCGCAUCUGAUGAAAGGAGACCGAAGAUCCACGAAGUUUAUAGAACACCGCACGAUUAUUUUCAGGGUGAGCGUAACAUGACCACUUCUGAGCAGCAUGAAAGGUGGUCACAGAAAAACGAUUUUCCUGGACCUACAUCGGUUGACGAUGGUGGGGAAGGAACAAAUUCGAAGAAGAAACGACCCAGACACAGACCAAACCGCCAUCAUUCCAACGAAUCACAGAGACAAACUUCAAAACCGGGGUUUGAUGACAAGAGAUUGUCAAAAUCGACCCACAGAGGUGACCCAGACUUUGACAGGCAACCUGACCGAUCGUCAAGUAGAAAUAGAACAGACUUUGACAGGCAAUCUAAUAGAGAUGACCCAAACUUUGACCGACAAUCAGUUAUUAGUGACAACAGCGUGUUAUCCAGACCAUCAGUUUGGGGGAGGGAUACACAUAAUAUUAACCCAGGGAUAAAUACAAGUGACUACUGGGGUAGUAGUUGCAUCGAAAAUGGACCUAGGGCUGAUUCUGUGAGUUCUGCAUCAUGGUCUGUAAGGGAUCGAAACCAGGGAGACAGGUACAAAGAUGAUAGAAAUAUGAGGGAUAGAGACCAAAGAGAUAGGAGUGUAGGGGACAGAAAUACGGGUUAUGAUAACACGGUUGGUAAAUCCAGUUUUGAUGGGACGAGGGAUUAUGAGAAUAGGGAGGAGGUUGAGAGGAGGAAUAGAGGGGGAAGUGUGUGGUAUGUAAGUGACGGAAGAGGUUAUGAUGGGACAACGGGUGGAGGGGAGGCUUCUAGAAACCAUGGAUCACAAUUGGUGCAACAAGGACAGCAGACUAUGCAUCCUGGGCAACAAGGACAGCAGGCUAUGCAACCUGUGCAGCAAAUUAUGCAACCAGUGCAGCAAGUUGUUCCACAGACACAACCACAAACAGGAAUGCAACCAGUGAAUCAGUUGCAAUUUGUGCAACAACAGCUGCAGUCUGUUCAAAAUAACAUUCAACUCGUUCAACAGCAGGUGCAACACAUUGCUCAACAAGGCGUGCAACACAUACAACAACCUGUGCAAUUGUUACAACAGCCUAUGCAACAGAUGCAACAACCUGUGCAGUUGUUGCAACAACCUGUGCAACAGAUGCAACAACCUGUGCAAUUGUUGCAACAACCUGUGCAACUGAUGCAACCUGUGCAGUUGUUGCAACAGCAUGUGCAACAUAUGCAACAACCUGUGCAAAUGUUGCAACAACCCAUGCAAUCGCUGCAGCAACCUAUGCAAGUGCUGCAACAAGGUGUUCAACAACCAGUGCAAUUGUUGCAACAGCCUGUGCAACAAAACGUGCAGCCAAUACAACAUGGCGUUCAACAAGCUGUGCAACAACCCAUGCAAAUUUUACGACGACCACAUCCUCAAGGCUCACCUGUUAAAACCGUAGUGCAGAUGUUUCGAGAAGCAAAACAUACCAAGAGGCAUGAUGAUGCCAGAAAACCUCAAUCGGGUGAAACUACAAAAUCCCCCAGUAAGAAGUCCGCUAACCAGUCUCCUACCAAAGACCAAGAGGCUGUUAAAAGACGGACGAAAAACUUUCUGGGCAACACAUAUUUUGGCAGAGACAGACCUCACAUGGAUGUGCCUGAAAAUUGUGACUCUAUCUAUGUCCGCAAUGAAGAGGCGUACGAAAUGGAUGAAGAAGACCUGAAAAAAGUAUUUUCUAUGUUUGGAGAAGUUGUAUCCAUCACAAUACCCAGCAGAAAAAAGCAGCAGAAGAGUAAGCGUCCGCUAUCAAUGAUUGUCACAUUCAAAAACCGAUAUUCAGUUAAAGAGGCUGUCAAGAAGACACUGUUCAUGGGAGGAAAAUUUACACCAGUGAAUCCGGUCAUCAAAAGAUCGGAUAAACCGGUGAACCCGAAAAUGGAGAAAGCGAACGGACCAGUGGACAUCUAUGACAUCCACGACAUCUGCGAGCCCGGCCUUUCGUUUGAGGCGGCCAUCUUGCGCUUCAAAGCCAUGAUGCAAACAGAUGACGAUCAGCUGGAGGCCCAGCAGCGCCUGGUGUGUCGUGACCUUGAGGCGACCUUCGGCCACAUCCUGCCCGGAGUCAAGGCCAAGCUGUUCGGGUCCUCUCAGAUCGGAUUGCGGCUCAAGGACAGUGAUACUGACAUUUUCAUGGAUUGUCCCAGCGGUCAACCGCAACGCAAUUUCGUGCAGAAAUACGGCUACCUCAUGUUCGACAAUAAGUGUUUUGAAAAAGUAGUGAAAAUCGCGACAGCUCGAGUUCCCAUUAUGACCUUCAAUCACGUAGAAACGGGACUACUGUGUGACGUCACCUUCCUCAACAAACUCGGUCUCAAAAACAGUGAAAUGCUGAGGUUCCUCCUAUCUUUGGAUCCCCGUAUCAGGGAUCUCGCUCUGAUCGUCAAGUAUUGGGCCAAAGUUCACGAACUGGCCAGUUUGGGCAAUUACUCCAACUACGCCAUCACUUUUAUGGUCAUAUAUUACCUCCAACAACUUCCUGAACCGCUCGUGCCACCCAUAUACCACCUCCAAAAACUAGCUGAUAAAAAGGAGGUGUGUGAAAACUGGGAUUGUAGUUUCUGUAGUGAUGUCAACAAGCUACCCAAAAUCACCAACACAUCUACAACCAAAGAAUUACUUUUAGGUUUCUUCGAUUAUUGGGCGUGUUUCGACUUUGAGAGAAACUUAGCGUGUACUCUGUUGGGUAGAACGUUCCAAAAAUCUGAAUUUCAAGAUUAUGAAAAUCUACCGGAUGAGUUGGAAGGAUACAAACGGCAUGCAAGAGAGGUACACGCACAGUUAGAGGCUGAUAAGCUGUUAGAGACAGCGGUAGACAAGGAGCAGAAGCUGACUUUCAACGAGAAAAGGUCGAAGUUGAGCUUCUUUGAGAAGAUCCAUGCGUUGAACUACGAUCUCCCGGUAUGUAUACAGGAUGCGUUUGAUUUGAGCUACAAUAUCACGCGUAUGAUAAGGGAGCCGUUGUUGAAAAGAUUCCAGUGGUUGUGUGAGUAUGCACGUGACGAGGUUUUGUCGAAACAAGAAGAUGGAAAAGCGUUAUUAGAUCUGUUUUUGCCACCCAAAAACAAACCACCUGAGAUUGUGACUCAUGAAUUCACCAAUCAGAAAGAUCUCUUCAUGGAUAACUAUACCAUUCUCGGGGUGAACUUGAAAGAAGAGCGUUACAAAGAGGUGUGGUUCAUUUUGGCGAGACUUACCCUUGUUUUUGUGCUGACUCAUAUCUAUUGCCUGGAGUUUGAGAUGGACGACUCGAACGAGACGAAAGCGAUAAUGAGCAGUGAGAGGAUGGAGUUGAUUGAUAAUGUCUAUCGCACGGUUUGCAUGAAGAUGAAGGGAGCCAGUACCGUGUUCCAUAACCGAGUCCAUUCAAGGAAACGACUGCUGAUGACAAAUGAUGCCUUCAUCAACGAGUGCGUAGUAACCCGCGAGAUCAUCAUGUUUCUCCGAAACAAGGAGCGUGAAAAAGGUGAUUUCUCAGAGAAAUUACUGGGCAACUUUACGAUGAAAAUCAGAUUUUUCUGUUUCCCUGAGGAACCACGUCCUCGCCUUAUGGUACAGUUCAUUAACUGUAAAUCCCCCCACUUCAAUACGGUUUCAAACUCGCUGAAUGCUGUUCUAUUGUCCGGCUUUCAGCGCAACAUUGAAAGAUGCAUCAAAGAAAAUAAUCUGCCUGUGAAGGAGUAUUUGAGGGAUGGCGGUGGUGAUUGGUAUGACUUUGCCAACUACUUUGAGGAUUUUGUAAGGAACUGUACGGAGAAGGGGAGGGGCUUGUGUGAGGAUCCCAGGUAUGCUAUAGUCUUACAAAAAACUGAGACCAUUCAAAAUGAUAAAAAGGAGGAAGAGUCCACUUGAUCUCUAUCUUGUGCUGAGUGUUUGAUAGUCAUUUCAAAAUGGUUACUAAUGGCUAGUGAUUACUAGUGACUUACUAGUUACUAAAAAUGGUUACUAUAGUGAGGUCCACGUUAUAAUGACAGUAUUUGAUCAACUUUGGUUUUGCUAUCCUUGUCCAUCCUUUUCUAGGUCCACAACGAUGCCAAUUAUGUUUUUGACAGUGUAGAAAUAUAAUUUAUUAAUGCAGAGAAUCGGCAUCGCUAUUCUUCUAUCUUCAUCUACUGCCAUUAUAACGUGGACCUCACUAUAGUACUUGGUUACUAAUACUGCCUAUUCAAGGCGGAUUCCCACAUAUAAGUGAACGUGUUCAAAGGUGACAUUUCAAAUCCUCCGUAUGCUUCUAAUCGAGCACAACUCUUUUUCAUCCUAGUCAGUAACACACUGUCUUUCACAAUUUCAUAAAUAUAUAUUCUUUUUAUUCAACGAUAGAUUGCUAUCUAGUCUAGGGACUAAUGAGCAACUUUUUUCUGUACCAUAAUACUAAUAAAUAUUUCAUACAAAAGAAUCCUCCUUAGGGUCUCCUAUUCAAAUUCUAAUAUUAUUAGUACACUGCUUAUGACUGUACUACACAGGCGGGUUUCACUCAUUUCCUGCUUGCUUUGCUUUUCACUGGACACAAGACACUUGAAUCAGCACUAGACCAGUUCAAAUGGCUUCUUCCUUUUCAUCCUCCUCACCAAUCCUCAAUUUUCCAGUAGCUGGAUUGCUUCGAUGUUGUCGUAUUGGUGGAGUCGGGCCGCUUGUUUCUCUGCAUGCCUCUGGAUUUCGCUGCAUACCAGGUCGACUUGCAGGUCUCUGUGUAGGUCGCUGUUUCUGACGUACCAAGGAGCAUCAGCAAUGUUUCUCAGCACCUUGUUUUGAAAGCGUUGUAUGACUUUGAUGUUACUGUCUUUGGUACACCCCCAAAGUUGUAUGCCAUACCUACAUACUGGCUUUAGAAUCUGUUUAUACAGGAGUACUUUGUUUGGAAUUGACAAGAUGGAGUUCCUUCCAAUCAGCCACCAGAGUCUCUUGUAUUUUAUUCCCAGCUCUUCUCUCUUCUUCUUAACAUGGACCUUCCAGCGAAGCUUUGCAUCCAAGGUCAUACCUAGGUACCUGGCAUCAUUGGCAAAUGGUACUAUUUGAUUGUUAAUGGUUAUUGGUAUGGGUUGAGCCCUCUUGUUGGUGAAAUCGAUAUGAACUGAUUUUGCUUCAUUGAGUUUAAUCUUCCAUUUUGUUGUCCAGUCUUCAAUUUUUCUGAGAUAUCUUUGAAGUUUUGCUGUAGCACUUUCAAUCUUGUCAUCUAUAUCUAAUAUUGCUGUGUCGUCGGCAAAUGUUGCUAUUGUAUUAUUCUCGAGACAUGGUAGAUCACUUGUAAACAGAAGAUAGAGAAUCGGCUCUAAAACACUCCCUUGUGGUACUCCUGCUUUUAUUUCUCCUAGGCCAGAAUAAGCAUCUUCAAGUUUCACUCUGAAGUAUCGUCCAGUUAAAUAUGACUGUAAGAUGUCUGUGAAUUGCUUUGGAAGUGACUUUUUCAACUUAUUAAUUAGUCCUCCAUGCCAGACUCUAUCAAAAGCUUGACUCACAUCCAGAAAUGCUGCAGAACAAACUUUUUUCUCUUCCAACGACCUUUCUAUUUUAUUUACAAUCCUGUGUACCUGAUCAAUAAUUGUUGAAUGUUUUUUCCUGAAGCCAAAUUGAUGAUCUGGUAUCAAUUUUUUCAUUCCAAUAAUCGGAGUCAGCCUUUUCAACAAUAUUCUUUCAAAAAGUUUUGACAUUACUGGAAGCAGAGAUAUUGGCCGGUAUGAUGAGAUGUUGUGGGGCUCUUUUCCAGCAUCAACUAUUGCUGUUGAAUUUUCCACAAUAUUAUAAAAUGGUUGAGGUAACCUUUGCUCACUCAGUCUGAAAUUAUUUCUUCUAGUUUUAUUCAGGCACAUUUUGCUAAAAUGAUUCACCACUCAGUCUGAAAUUAUUUCUUCUAGCUUUAUUCAGGCACAUUUUGCUAAAAUGAUUCAUCUUACCCAAUUAUUACACCUUUUACCAGACACUGGGCAGCUCCUACCUUCCACAUGCUGCAUUCCGCAAUAGCCGCAUACAAUCUUCUGAUAUGAGUUUGUUUUCCUUUUAUCGUACUUGGAAACUGGGUAAAGUGAAGAAAGUCACUAGCCCCUUCAAAGUUGCAUAAAAUGAAUUGAAUGAUUGAC